GGUCUCUUGGUGCAAUCAGGUAUUGGUGUCUCAAAGGAAUUGUGGGAGUCCCAAUAUAUCCAGUUAUUUCCUCCAAUGUCGGUGUGAGUUCAAAGUCCAAGAAGUGGAAGAAAUUUUGAGUCGGGUCCCAAAAUGUGAUUAAUGCUUUUAUGAUAUCUCCCCUAGGGUUAAUUUUCAACAAACCGUUGAAACCUCCCAGAUUCGUUUGACCCUUUUUUGCCCUGCUUCCCCCAGAUCUUUCCACCAUAGUCGCAAC
rnacentral:lncRNA from 1 species